CUAGACGUGAGAGUCGUACGCUGGAAGCCUGUUGCUUGCACCGGGUGGAUGAGUGGCGAACGGGUGAGUAACACGUGAGUAACCUGCCCCUGACUUCGGGAUAAGCCCGGGAAACUGGGUCUAAUACCGGAUACGACUGCCGGACGCAUGUCUGGUGGUGGAAAGUUUUUUCGGUUGGGGAUGGGCUCGCGGCCUAUCAGUUUGUUGGUGAGGUAAUGGCUCACCAAGACGACGACGGGUAGCCGGCCUGAGAGGGCGACCGGCCACACUGGGACUGAGACACGGCCCAGACUCCUACGGGAGGCAGCAGUGGGGAAUAUUGCACAAUGGGGGAAACCCUGAUGCAGCGACGCAGCGUGCGGGAUGACGGCCUUCGGGUUGUAAACCGCUUUCAGCAGGGAAGAAGCGAAAGUGACGGUACCUGCAGAAGAAGUACCGGCUAACUACGUGCCAGCAGCCGCGGUAAUACGUAGGGUACGAGCGUUGUCCGGAAUUAUUGGGCGUAAAGAGCUCGUAGGUGGUUGGUCACGUCUGCUGUGGAAACGCAACGCUUAACGUUGCGCGUGCAGUGGGUACGGGCUGACUAGAGUGCAGUAGGGGAGUCUGGAAUUCCUGGUGUAGCGGUGAAAUGCGCAGAUAUCAGGAGGAACACCGGUGGCGAAGGCGGGACUCUGGGCUGUAACUGACACUGAGGAGCGAAAGCAUGGGGAGCGAACAGGAUUAGAUACCCUGGUAGUCCAUGCCGUAAACGUUGGGCACUAGGUGUGGGGGGCAUUCCACGUUCUCCGCGCCGUAGCUAACGCAUUAAGUGCCCCGCCUGGGGAGUACGGUCGCAAGGCUAAAACUCAAAGGAAUUGACGGGGGCCCGCACAAGCGGCGGAGCAUGCGGAUUAAUUCGAUGCAACGCGAAGAACCUUACCAAGGCUUGACAUACACCAGACCGUCCUGGAAACAGGUCCUCUUCUUUGAAGCUGGUGUACAGGUGGUGCAUGGUUGUCGUCAGCUCGUGUCGUGAGAUGUUGGGUUAAGUCCCGCAACGAGCGCAACCCUCGUUCUAUGUUGCCAGCACGUGAUGGUGGGAACUCAUAGGAGACUGCCGGGGUCAACUCGGAAGAAGGUGGGGAUGACGUCAAAUCAUCAUGCCCUUUAUGUCUUGGGCUUCACGCAUGCUACAAUGG
rnacentral:rRNA from 1 species